CUUUAACUGUCUGGAAAUAAACAACUUUAAUUGUGUAGGACGAUCAACCUGCCCCCAAGACAUCAGGCGCUGCCUGACAGUGUCCAUGCCUGCCAGCAGUUCCUAGGGCCCCAGCAGUUGCGAAGCCACCAGCCUACAUGGGUGGCAUGCACUCCAACGGAGCAGUUUCAGCAUCCACAUGAGACCCUCUGUAUGGGCUCUUUGGGAGGACAGAGGGCAAGGCUCUGAGAGUUCUCUGCAGGCUGGGACUUCCCAGCGUCCUCAGCUUCAGGUGGACCUGGCCCUGGAUUCUCCCUGAGACCCUCAGCCUCCCACCCGUCACUUCCCCUUCUCUGCUUCUCCCACAUGGUGGAAGUGGUGAGGGUUGUAUUUAUCAAUUUCGUCUUCUGCAUUGGUGAAUUCUGACAUGCACUGGGGCAAAGAACGUCUGGGCGACCUCUGUGGAGGUUUGUCCGUGCUGGAGUGCCGGGACGUUUUCUGCUUCAGGAGCGUCGAGAGGCCCUACAGAGCCUUGAGUGGGAACUCUCUGAGCAUCAGAGGCAGUGCUGUGCUCACAGCCAACAGCAGGGAGAAUCUGUGGCAGGGAGACACACAGACCUGCGGGACACAGCAGAACCCAGUUCAGGGGCAGAUGACGGACAGACACCGACCCAGCCGCGGAGGAAGGACUGCCUUGCUCUUCUACAGCAGAAGGGGCGAUGACCUCAGACCUUGCAUAAAAGCACUCAGAAUGCAUUGUGGGUGACAUGGAGAAGUCAUACUGAGCAGCUUUCUGACAGCCAGACGGAAGAGAAACGCUUACCCUUCUGGUGCUCCACAAGCUGUGUGGAGCUGACCCCCAAAGCGUGGUCCACAAAAGGCACACCUGGUGAAACUGGACCUCAGCCAACUGGAAGUCUGUGUUUUCUUUUAAUUUUUUUGCCGUGAAUGACCUUGUUACAAGGACACAGAGACAGGCUGCAGAGUGGGAGAAAGUAGCUGCACACCAUGUAUCCAUGAACGAAUGAGCAUCCUGUACCCACAAAGAACUCAGAAUGCAGCAUCAGGGCAGCUAGUCCCUCACUAGGAGACAAGGCUAGGACAGGAAGAGACGUUUCAUUGACGUGAGGUCAUGGAUGGCCAUGGGCACGGAAACAGAUUUUCAGCAUUGUUGGCCUUUAGGAGGGUGCAUGUUAAGGCACAUGGCUGCCUCUCGUCAGAGGGACCAGGAUGAAAGCCAGUGUGAUACAAAUGCUGGGGAGGAUGCCCGGAAACCAGAUCGUGCGUCGCUGCUGGGGGAGUGGAACGUGAUGGCGUCACUUCAAGUGGCAGUGCGGCCUCUUCCCUUUCUACAGAAGCGUCUGCCGCACAGCCCCAAGCCUGGCUGCGUGGGUAUUUUCUCCAGAGAACUGAAAGCUCCAGGCCACACAGAAACAAGCCCGUGCAUGCAAGGAACGAAGGAUGGACUUCUCCCCAGCUUGACCGAUGGCCUGGGCUGCUGCUGAGUGGAAAGGUUCCAAAGGUAGCAUCUCUUAUGGUUCUUCUAGUAAUACGAUGCAUAUAUAGUAGUGGACAGCAGCUUCGUUUUGUGGGCGGUCCGGGACAAGGCAGUUGGGUGGGAAGAGAUUAGUGUGUGCGUGCAGGAACACAUAAAUCCAGUGUUCAAACUGUUGAGACGUCUUGACUGUUACCAGUAUCAGCACCAUAGUUGUUGUAGCUCCUGGACUUCUGCAAGGUAUUACCAGAGUUUUACCUACCAAGAAAUCUAACCAGAUGUGUGCAGGAUUCCAGCCCUGAAACUGCAAAGCACCUGUUGAAAUAAAAGUGGUAAAUGCAUGGCAGCUUACCCCGUGGUUGUGAAUCAUGGCAGCUGUGUACCUGUGCCUUUCUUGGCUCUGUAUCUGGGAUGCAGCUUGGAGCUGUGCAGGCUCACGGCUGAGGCAUUUAGCUUUGGGUGUCAGAUGAGUCUUUGGACUUGGACUUUGAGCAGUGCUGUGGCAUGACGUGGAUGAGACUUUGAGGAUAGGAUGAAGGCAUUGUGUACCAUGGGAUGGACUUGAAUCUUUGAUGGCCAAAGACAGAAUACUGUGAUGACUGAACUCUCGUGAAAUGCUUGUUUACAAGAACUGUACAUUCAACUGCUCAUUUGUAUAUGCUAUUCAUGAGCCUGCUGAACUACCAAG